GACGAACGCUGGCGGCGUGCUUAACACAUGCAAGUCGAACGGAAAGGCCCUGCUUUUGUGGGGUGCUCGAGUGGCGAACGGGUGAGUAACACGUGAGUAACCUGCCCUUGACUUUGGGAUAACUUCAGGAAACUGGGGCUAAUACGGGAAAGAACUUCUGCUGCCUGGUGGGGGGUGGGAAGUUUCGGCGGUUGGGGAUGGACUCGCGGCUUAUCAGCUUGUUGGUGGGGUAGUGGCUUACCAAGGCUUUGACGGGUAGCCGGCCUGAGAGGGUGACCGGCCACAUUGGGACUGAGAUACGGCCCAGACUCCUACGGGAGGCAGCAGUGGGGAAUAUUGCACAAUGGGCGGAAGCCUGAUGCAGCAACGCCGCGUGCGGGAUGACGGCCUUCGGGUUGUAAACCGCUUUCGCCUGUGACGAAGCGUGAGUGACGGUAAUGGGUAAAGAAGCACCGGCUAACUACGUG
rnacentral:rRNA from 1 species